rnacentral:pre_miRNA from 1 species
AGGAGGAACAGCCCCAGUGGCGGGGCAGCUCUGGAAACCUGGAUUCAGCUCCGGAGCUCUCCUUCUGCAGGGCCUGGAGGCUCCGGGGCGGG